AAAAUGGCUCUUUUAAGAGCCACUAAAAACCAUUAAGAUCUUGAUC
rfam:Oreochromis niloticus linkage group LG20, whole genome shotgun sequence.